UUAAGCGACUAAGCGUACACGGUGGAUGCCCAGGCAGUCAGAGGCGAUGAAGGACGUGCUAAUCUGCGAUAAGCGUCGGUAAGGUGAUAUGAACCGUUAUAACCGGCGAUUUCCGAAUGGGGAAACCCAGUGUGUUUCGACACACUAUCAUUAACUGAAUCCAUAGGUUAAUGAGGCGAACCGGGGGAACUGAAACAUCUAAGUACCCCGAGGAAAAGAAAUCAACCGAGAUUCCCCCAGUAGCGGCGAGCGAACGGGGAGCAGCCCAGAGCCUGAAUCAGUGUGUGUGUUAGUGGAAGCGUCUGGAAAGGCGCGCGAUACAGGGUGACAGCCCCGUACACAAAAAUGCACAUGCUGUGAGCUCGAUGAGUAGGGCGGGACACGUGGUAUCCUGUCUGAAUAUGGGGGGACCAUCCUCCAAGGCUAAAUACUCCUGACUGACCGAUAGUGAACCAGUACCGUGAGGGAAAGGCGAAAAGAACCCCGGCGAGGGGAGUGAAAAAGAACCUGAAACCGUGUACGUACAAGCAGUGGGAGCACGCUUAGGCGUGUGACUGCGUACCUUUUGUAUAAUGGGUCAGCGACUUAUAUUCUGUAGCAAGGUUAACCGAAUAGGGGAGCCGAAGGGAAACCGAGUCUUAACUGGGCGUUAAGUUGCAGGGUAUAGACCCGAAACCCGGUGAUCUAGCCAUGGGCAGGUUGAAGGUUGGGUAACACUAACUGGAGGACCGAACCGACUAAUGUUGAAAAAUUAGCGGAUGACUUGUGGCUGGGGGUGAAAGGCCAAUCAAACCGGGAGAUAGCUGGUUCUCCCCGAAAGCUAUUUAGGUAGCGCCUCGUGAAUUCAUCUCCGGGGGUAGAGCACUGUUUCGGCAAGGGGGUCAUCCCGACUUACCAACCCGAUGCAAACUGCGAAUACCGGAGAAUGUUAUCACGGGAGACACACGGCGGGUGCUAACGUCCGUCGUGAAGAGGGAAACAACCCAGACCGCCAGCUAAGGUCCCAAAGUCAUGGUUAAGUGGGAAACGAUGUGGGAAGGCCCAGACAGCCAGGAUGUUGGCUUAGAAGCAGCCAUCAUUUAAAGAAAGCGUAAUAGCUCACUGGUCGAGUCGGCCUGCGCGGAAGAUGUAACGGGGCUAAACCAUGCACCGAAGCUGCGGCAGCGACGCUUAUGCGUUGUUGGGUAGGGGAGCGUUCUGUAAGCCUGUGAAGGUGUGCUGUGAGGCAUGCUGGAGGUAUCAGAAGUGCGAAUGCUGACAUAAGUAACGAUAAAGCGGGUGAAAAGCCCGCUCGCCGGAAGACCAAGGGUUCCUGUCCAACGUUAAUCGGGGCAGGGUGAGUCGACCCCUAAGGCGAGGCCGAAAGGCGUAGUCGAUGGGAAACAGGUUAAUAUUCCUGUACUUGGUGUUACUGCGAAGGGGGGACGGAGAAGGCUAUGUUGGCCGGGCGACGGUUGUCCCGGUUUAAGCGUGUAGGCUGGUUUUCCAGGCAAAUCCGGAAAAUCAAGGCUGAGGCGUGAUGACGAGGCACUACGGUGCUGAAGCAACAAAUGCCCUGCUUCCAGGAAAAGCCUCUAAGCAUCAGGUAACAUCAAAUCGUACCCCAAACCGACACAGGUGGUCAGGUAGAGAAUACCAAGGCGCUUGAGAGAACUCGGGUGAAGGAACUAGGCAAAAUGGUGCCGUAACUUCGGGAGAAGGCACGCUGAUAUGUAGGUGAAGUCCCUCGCGGAUGGAGCUGAAAUCAGUCGAAGAUACCAGCUGGCUGCAACUGUUUAUUAAAAACACAGCACUGUGCAAACACGAAAGUGGACGUAUACGGUGUGACGCCUGCCCGGUGCCGGAAGGUUAAUUGAUGGGGUUAGCCGCAAGGCGAAGCUCUUGAUCGAAGCCCCGGUAAACGGCGGCCGUAACUAUAACGGUCCUAAGGUAGCGAAAUUCCUUGUCGGGUAAGUUCCGACCUGCACGAAUGGCGUAAUGAUGGCCAGGCUGUCUCCACCCGAGACUCAGUGAAAUUGAACUCGCUGUGAAGAUGCAGUGUACCCGCGGCAAGACGGAAAGACCCCGUGAACCUUUACUAUAGCUUGACACUGAACAUUGAGCCUUGAUGUGUAGGAUAGGUGGGAGACUUAGAAGUGUGGACGCCAGUCUGCAUGGAGCCGACCUUGAAAUACCACCCUUUAAUGUUUGAUGUUCUAACGUUGACCCGUAAUCCGGGUUGCGGACAGUGUCUGGUGGGUAGUUUGACUGGGGCGGUCUCCUCCUAAAGAGUAACGGAGGAGCACGAAGGUUGGCUAAUCCUGGUCGGACAUCAGGAGGUUAGUGCAAUGGCAUAAGCCAGCUUGACUGCGAGCGUGACGGCGCGAGCAGGUGCGAAAGCAGGUCAUAGUGAUCCGGUGGUUCUGAAUGGAAGGGCCAUCGCUCAACGGAUAAAAGGUACUCCGGGGAUAACAGGCUGAUACCGCCCAAGAGUUCAUAUCGACGGCGGUGUUUGGCACCUCGAUGUCGGCUCAUCACAUCCUGGGGCUGAAGUAGGUCCCAAGGGUAUGGCUGUUCGCCAUUUAAAGUGGUACGCGAGCUGGGUUUAGAACGUCGUGAGACAGUUCGGUCCCUAUCUGCCGUGGGCGCUGGAGAACUGAGGGGGGCUGCUCCUAGUACGAGAGGACCGGAGUGGACGCAUCACUGGUGUUCGGGUUGUCAUGCCAAUGGCACUGCCCGGUAGCUAAAUGCGGAAGAGAUAAGUGCUGAAAGCAUCUAAGCACGAAACUUGCCCCGAGAUGAGUUCUCCCUGACUCCUUGAGAGUCCUGAAGGAACGUUGAAGACGACGACGUUGAUAGGCCGGGUGUGUAAGCGCAGCGAUGCGUUGAGCUAACCGGUACUAAUGAACCGUGAGGCUUAACCU
rnacentral:rRNA from 1 species